rnacentral:rRNA from 1 species
CACGUAGGGACCAAGCGUUGUCCGGAUUCAUUGGGCGUAAAGAGCUCGUAGGCGGUUCGAUAAGUCGGGUGUGAAACCUCCAGGCUCAACCUGGAGACGCCACCCGAUACUGUCGUGACUAGAGUCCAGUAGGGGAGCGUGGAAUUCCUGGUGUAGCGGUGAAAUGCGCAGAUAUCGGGAGGAACACCAGUGGCGAAGGCGACUACCUGGCCCAUUCUUGACGCUGAGGCGCGAAAGCUAGGGGAGCGAACGGG